rnacentral:rRNA from 1 species
CACGUAGGGUGCGAGCGUUGUCCGGAAUUAUUGGGCGUAAAGAGCUCGUAGGCGGUGUGUCGCGUCGGCCGUGAAAACCUGCAGCUUAACUGUGGGCUUGCGGUCGAUACGGGCAUCACUGGAGUUCGGCAGGGGAGACUGGAAUUCCUGGUGUAGCGGUGAAAUGCGCAGAUAUCAGGAGGAACACCCGUGGCGAAGGCGGUUCUCUGGGACGGUACUGGCGCUGAGACGCGAAAGCGUGGGGAGCGAACAGG